UUCUGGUUGAUCCUGCCAGACCUGACUGCUAUCGGAUUGAUACUAAGCCAUGCGAGUCAUUGUAGCAAUACAAGGCAUACGGCUCAGUAACGCGUAGUCAACCUAACCUAUGGACGGGAAUAACCUCGGGAAACUGAGAAUAAUGCCCGAUAGAACAUUAUACCUGGAAUGGUUUAUGUUCCAAAUGAUUUAUCGCCGUAGGAUGGGACUGCGGCCUAUCAGUUUGUUGGUGAGGUAAUGGCCCACCAAGACUAUUACAGGUACGGGCUCUGAGAGGAGUAGCCCGGAGAUGGGUACUGAGACACGGACCCAGGCCCUAUGGGGCGCAGCAGGCGAGAAAACUUUGCAAUGUGCGAAAGCACGACAAGGUUAAUCCGAGUGAUUUCUGCUAAAGAGAUCUUUUGUUGGUCCUAGAACCACUAACGAAUAAGGGGUGGGCAAGUUCUGGUGUCAGCCGCCGCGGUAAAACCAGCACCUCAAGUGGUCAGGAUGAUUAUUGGGCCUAAAGCAUCCGUAGCCGGCUCUGUAAGUUUUCGGUUAAAUCUGUACGCUUAACGUACAGGCUGCCGGGAAUACUGUAGAGCUAGGGAGUGGGAGAGGUAGACGGUACUCGAUAGGAAGUGGUAAAAUGCUUUGAUCUAUCGAUGACCACCUGUGGCGAAGGCGGUCUACCAGAACACGUCCGACGGUGAGGGAUGAAAGCUGGGGGAGCAAACCGGAUUAGAUACCCGGGUAGUCCCAGCUGUAAACUAUGCAAACUCAGUGAUGCAUUGGCUUGUGGCCAAUGCAGUGCUGCAGGGAAGCCGUUAAGUUUGCCGCCUGGGAAGUACGUACGCAAGUAUGAAACUUAAAGGAAUUGGCGGGGGAGCACCACAAGGGGUGAAGCCUGCGGUUCAAUUGG
rnacentral:rRNA from 1 species